rnacentral:rRNA from 1 species
UACGGAGGGGGCUAGCGUUGUUCGGAAUUACUGGGCGUAAAGCGCACGUAGGCGGACCGGAAAGUCAGAGGUGAAAUCCCAGGGCUCAACCUUGGAACUGCCUUUGAAACUCCUGGUCUUGAGGUCGAGAGAGGUGAGUGGAAUUCCGAGUGUAGAGGUGAAAUUCGUAGAUAUUCGGAGGAACACCAGUGGCGAAGGCGGCUCACUGGCUCGAUACUGACGCUGAGGUGCGAAAGCGUGGGGAGCAAGCAGG